UAGGGAAUAUUGGACAAUGGGGGCAACCCUGAUCCAGCCAUGCCGCGUGAGUGAAGAAGGCCCUCGGGUUGUAAAGCUCUUUUGUCCGGAAAGAAAAGCUUCGGGUUAAUACCCCGGGGUUCUGACGGUACCGGAAGAAUAAGCACCGGCUAACUUCGUGCCAGCAGCCGCGGUAAUACGAAGGGUGCAAGCGUUACUCGGAAUUACUGGGCGUAAAGCGUGCGUAGGUGGUUGUUUAAGUCUGAGGUGAAAGCCCUGGGCUCAACCUGGGAAUGGCAUUUGAAACUGGGGAGCUAGAGUGCGGUAGAGGGUAGUGGAAUUCCCGGUGUAUCAGUGAAAUGCGUAGAGAUCGGGAGAAACAUCUGUGGCGAAGGCGACUGCCUGGACCAGCACCGACACUGAGGCACGAAAGCGUGGGGAGCAAACA
rnacentral:rRNA from 1 species